rnacentral:rRNA from 1 species
GACGAACGCUGGCGGCGUGCCUAAUACAUGCAAGUAGAACGCUGAAGGAGGAGCUUGCUUCUCUGGAUGAGUUGCGAACGGGUGAGUAACGCGUAGGUAACCUGCCUGGUAGCGGGGGAUAACUAUUGGAAACGAUAGCUAAUACCGCAUAAUAGUAGAUGUUGCAUGACAUUUGCUUAAAAGGUGCAAUUGCAUCACUACCAGAUGGACCUGCGUUGUAUUAGCUAGUUGGUGGGGUAACGGCUCACCAAGGCGACGAUAUAUAGCCGACCUGAGAGGGUGAUCGGCCACACUGGGACUGAGACACGGCCCAGACUCCUACGGGAGGCAGCAGUAGGGAAUCUUCGGCAAUAGACGGAAGUCUGACCGAGCAACGCCGCGUGAGUGAAGAAGGUUUUCGGAUCGUAAAGCUCUGUUGUAAGAGAAGAACGAGUGUGAGAGUGGAAAGUUCACACUGUGACGGUAUCUUACCAGAAAGGGACGGCUAACUACGUG